UACGUAGGGGGCUAGCGUUGUCCGGAAUCAUUGGGCGUAAAGCGCGCGUAGGCGGCCAGAUAAGUCCGGUGUGAAAGUCACAGGCUCAACCUGUGAAUGCCGCUGGAAACUGUCUGGCUUGAGUCCGGAAGGGGUGAGUGGAAUUCCUGGUGUAGCGGUGAAAUGCGCAGAUAUCAGGAGGAACACUGGUGGCGAAGGCGGUUCUCUGGGCCUGUACUGACGCUGAGGAGCGAAAGCGUGGGGAGCGAACAGG
rnacentral:rRNA from 1 species